AAAUAUUUUCAGAACAUUUUACAUUAUGCAUUAUUUUGACUACUUAAAGACUUUUAAUUAAAUUUAAUCAAAAUUUAUUCACACAAAUAGAGUCUGUAGUAGUUUAAAUGUUUUUUGAGCAGUUGAAAUCUCUAAACCCUGAUAGAGACAAAAAGUUACAGUAACUUCAAAAUUUUCUUUUACAUUUACGUCAAAAAUAAUUUCAAAUAAAUAGCUCCAGUAUACCCAGCUUCUUUAGAUUUAACUUCGUAAUUAUGCCAAUUAUGAGAUUUUGAACAUAUUUUUCUACAAACUGCUGUGUUUCUGGGAGGACCUGUUUUAUAUUUAAACAUAGAAAUAAGAGUCAGAUUUCACUUUAAACCUAUAGGCCUAAACAUCUUUGGUGUUUUCUGAGUUUCAGUAAUGGCGGGCAGAUUUUUAUGGGCCUUGGUGACACUGCUUUGACCAAAGGGACACCAUUCACCGGCACGAUGGAGGAGCAGCAGGGGGCUCUCGGUCCAGCCAUCAACUGUGUGAGCACGCGCAGUGACCGCUCCAUGGCACACCUAAUCGCAUUUCAAAAACAGCCCACAUCCUCAGAUCCAGGAGGUGUGUCCAAAGAUUUGAACCAGGAUCUGGACUCAGUGAAUGAAAGGAUCCAACAAGGGGCACUCACCUCUGAAGAAAGCUGCGUCUCUCUAAGGAGUGACUGGUCCAUGGAGCAUCGAAAUGAUUUCAAAUCUAACACGCAGUCACUUGAGGUCAGGUCUGACAUCGGUUUAAAUCAGACAAAAAGCCUUUCAAAGCCUCGAAUGUCUUCUUUGGGCAGUGACCAGCACAGAUCAGAAUUCAGUCAUCACAAAUCACACAGUCAUAUCAUGAAGGAGCUCAAAGUGACUAUUGAAGCAUUUUUGGAGAGUGAACUGAAUCAUUUAGACAGGAUUCUAAGUGAAGAGAUGUACACUGACCCAGAGGAGAGCAUGAGUAAAGAUGAGGAUGAGGACACAAAGAGCAGCAGAGAGGCAGUGCUUCACCUGUCCACACACUUCCUUCGAAAAAUGAACCAGAACAACCUGGCACAGUGUCUGCUCAGUCGGACUAAAGCUGUGAAAUGCAUAUCAAAACUGAAAUCCAAACUGAAGAGGACAUACAAGUCUGUCUUUGAGGGGGUCAGUAAAGCCGGACACCAAACUGACCUCAGUCAGAUCUACACAGACCUAUGGAUCACAGAGGGCAACAAUGCGGGCGUCGACAUUGAACAUGAGGUUCACCAGAUACAAACUGACGCUCGCAAACACCGGUACAAGACUGUAAAAUGUCAGGAAAUGUUUGGGAAUUCUCCCUGUGGAGGCCAGUUGGUGAGGACAAUGCUGACGAAAGGAGUGGCAGGCAUAGGUAAAACCUUGUGUGUCCAGAAGGUGGUGCUAGAUUGGGCUGAAUCCAAAGCCCACCACAAUAUCCGCUUCAUGCUCCCAUUCAGCUUCAGAGAGCUCAAUGUGCUCAAAGACAGGAGCUUCAGCCUUGUGGGAUUUGUUCACCACUUCUUUGUAGAGAUUAAAGAAGCUGAAGUCUGCAGCUUUGAUGACAUUAGAGUUGUAUUCAUAUUUGAUGGUUUAGACGAGUCCAGACUUAAACUGAACUUUGAAAACUGUCAAAGCCUGACAGACAUUACAGAGUCUGCCCCCCUGGAUGUCCUGUUGGUGAACCUCAUCAGGGGAAAGCUCCUCCCUGUCGCUCAACUGUGGAUAACCACACGCCCCGCUGCAGCCAAUCAGAUCCCGGCUGAGUGCAUCUCCAUGGUGACAGAGGUGCGAGGGUUUACUGACCCACAGAAAGAACAGUACUUCCGGAAGAGAUUUGAAGAUGAACAAGCCACAGUCAUCAUUAACCACAUGAAGACAAACCGCAGCCUUCACAACAUGUGCUACAUUCCAAUUUUCUGCUGGAUCCUCUUCACUGUCCUGAAGCACGUGAUGGAGGCAGGAGCCAUGAGCCAACUGCCCCAUACCCUCACUCAGAUGUACAUCCACCUGCUGGUGGUCCACACCAAAGUGAAGGGCCGUAAGUAUGAUGGGCGCUCUGAGAUGGACUCUCCCUGGACUCCAGAGACCAAGAAGAUGGUACAAUCUCUGGGAAAACUGGCCUUUGAGCAGCUGCAGAGAGGAAAUCUAAUCUUCUAUGAGUCUGACCUGAGCCAGUGUGGACUAGACGCUGCAGCGGCCUCAGUGUGCUCUGGAGUGUUCACUCAGGUAUUUAGAGAAGAGCAAGGACUGUACCAGGAGAAGGUCUACUGCUUCAUACAUCUGAGUGUCCAGGAGUUUCUGGCUGCUCUUUAUGUCCAUCUGACCUUCUUCAAUUCUCAAUUCAAUCUUCUGUCUGAAGCUCCUUCCGCAAAGCUCAAGCUGAAGCCAGUGAAUGACAGAGGGGCUGAGAAGGCCUUCUAUCGCAGUGCUGUGGACACCGCCCUGCAGAGUUUCACUUUCGAUGGCAUCUACAAGUGGAAAAAAGCGAUCCAUGGUUUGGGAUCACUUUGAUCUAAUUCCACCUAACAAGGUACGGUGUAUGCUCUGCACACAAGUAUUGUCUUACUCUAGCAAUAUCAUCGAUACCUGCGUGCCAAUGGUUAAAUUUGUCCACUAGAGGCUCUCGGGCUGCUUGCUCACAGAGAAAGGCUUUGGUCUUUUGGGAGGUGCACUGGACAGCUGUCAGCUUAGAGAGUUGGAUCUGAGGUACAACCAUCCUGGAGACUCAGGGAUACACAUGCUGUCUGCAGCACGGGAGCAGCCUGCCUGCAGCCUCACCACUCUCAGGACAGAGCAUGGUGGAUUGUAUCGGCUGAGUCCAGGGCCAAAAAAGUAUGCCUGUGAACUCACAAUGGACCUGAACACAGCACACAGAGGGCUCCAGUGCUUUGAGAACAACUGUGUUAUAGAUGGUGAUGUCCCUGACCAAGAGGGGGCAGACAGCUUUGAAUUCUGGCACCAGGUUAUGUGCAGUGAGGGUCUGAUGGGGCGCUGUUACUGGGAGGUAAAAUGGAGAGGCCUGGUGUCUAUAGCCGUUACUUAUAGAGGGAUCCAGAAGAAAGGAAAAACUUGUGCCAGUAAGCUUGGGGGCAACUGCCUCUCCUGGGCUUUGGACUGCUCCCACUGGUAUUACUCAGCCUGGCAUAAUAAUAUUAUGGAGAAAAGGGUCCCAAGUAGCCAUAGAUGGAGUAGGUACCAUGAAGGUGCUGAGUGCACAGUGGUGGUGUACUUGGACUGGGAGGAGGGGGUCUUGUCCUUCUUUAGGGUGCUGCCUAGUGGUCUUGAGCUGAUCCACACUUUCCACACUGCAUUUAAUGAACCCCUGAUCCCCGCCUUCCGACUCCGCUCUGAAUACACUCUAGACACCUGCAACUCUGUGACUGUGUGUCCAGUGCAGACCUAAGCCAAGAGGGACUAAAACAAAAGCUUUUUUGGACAUUGAAUAAAUUUCUUGUACCUGUGUUGAUAUUCUAACUGCUGUAACCCAACAGUAUGUUUUGUAAUCUGAUGCACAAAGCUGAGAUGUGCCAUAUACUGUGCCAUAUAUCAACUUCUUUAUUUACAAUUAUCAGUUAGUCAGUGCAACUAGAUCUAUGGAACUAAAUCAAACUAUCAGUGAUUGCUUCUAAUAUACUUUUGUAUUUUUGUAUAAUGGUAACUGAGCCUAUAACAGGCCUAUAACAUGUAAAACAAUUUUAUUUUACAAGACAGUUAGAUCAUUUUGAGUGUUUUCUAUAGACUCAAUGCUGUUGGUGCCUCUUCUUGAACAUGGUGGUAAUACUCUGUGACAGAAGCUGCUAGCAUGUACUGAAAAUUCCUCUAAACCUGUUUGUUAUUAUUAUAUUUAAUGUUAUUAUUUAUCGUUUGACAAUGUUUGCAAGAAUAUUACAGCCUAAAUAUAAUAUAAUAAUACA